rnacentral:lncRNA from 1 species
UGGAAAUGUUAAUUUCAGUGUUGUUUAUUACCCAUCUUUUAAAGGAAAGAGGCAGUCUGAGGAAAUAAGUGAUUCUGAGAGCAGAGGAAUGAAGGGAGAAGUUUGCACAGGUUCUGUGAUGUCUAAUACAGACUGGACCUGUUCUCCUGUCUACUCCUUGGGAGAAUUAGGAUUUCACCCUUCUACUCAGCUAUCUAUUUUCAUUAUAUUUGCAGGGCCUUGUCAAUUCACCUACUGCUCCAGUGCCAGUGCCACAGAGGCACAGCAACUCGCCUUGCAGGAGAAACCUCAGUGUCUUGGCUGCCAUAUGGAAGCUGACCUGACACCUCUCAGCCUCAAGACAUUGCUGGGUUAUGACUAUUUUUGCCAGGAGACGCAAGAGGGUCAGACAAAUUUGACCAUACCAAUCCACAUUACAGCUAGCACCCAAGGAAAGGCUGACCUUAGCAGGAGUUAUGCAGUGGGAUUUCCAGGCUGAGAGACAGAGUUGCAACAGAGACAACUGAGAACGGCCACAGCUCACUGGCUGGAGAUAAAGAGCAUAUUUUAAGUGCUAUGGUGAAAUGGUGUGACCUUGCUAUUCUGAGAAAGCAAGGAUCUGACCCCAGGCCCCUCAAAGUCAGCAGAACGAUCUCAGAUGUAAGCACAUCAUCAAACCCAGCACAACUACAAUGUUUAGCUGUAUUCUUCCCAUGCUCUGACACUUGGAAAUGUGCAGAGGCAGUGACAAGACACCCACUCUCAGAAAUUUGUAAUCCUCAUGUUAUACAUGUGAUUAUUUCUAUAUUAUAUAUAUGGUUGUCUAAUCCUUAGGGGACACGCCAAUUCCAUCUAAACCAGGCUGAGCAGGCACACUGUCAUUGCUGUCUUUCACUUUUUUUUUUUCCCCUGUAAAAAGCAACCUAUUGCCUUGGCAAAUCAAAUGCAGAAAGCUGCAUGCCUCUAAUUUUGUUCAAAGAAAUAUUUUCAUAUUUUUUUCUCCUUCUCAAAGAUCAGGCUUGAAGUUCUUUCAGUGCUCACCGAGACAUCUGUCUUGCGUAGGUUCAGCUGCCACCUUUUCAAAUUACUUGUCAUGUGUAUCUGUUCUAUAAGAUACAUCAUUAGAUAUUUUUUGCUUAAUGCUAUAUUUAUCAGCGCAGAAGGGAAUCUCCCAGCUCUGCGAAAACUUCGUCAUAAGGCAAAUUUGAGCAACAGCGCUGAAGAAUAUCUUUCUUUCCUCUAUUGAGGCAAUACUGACAUCCUGAACUUCCCAGCUCUACUACAGGUGCUGGCACAGUAAUUUAGAAUUGUAUGAGACUUUCUGUCCUUCUUGGCACCUUGGAUCAUGCAGUACAAAGCUCAUGAGCUUCUCCUUACCAAAGUUUGCCUAUGACACACUUUGGUCAACAAUUCCAGAUGCUUACUAUAAAAGGAAGUUUUGCUUUGUCAUUUGAAAUAAUUCAGUAGAAACAGCAGUUGUUUCCCAGUAAUACUAGAAAGAUACAUAUAUUGCAUUCCUCAUUAUGAAGUGUGGAACUGCUCAUAUCUCCUCCCUGUUCACAUCGCCUAGCUACUUACCACAUGUACAUUGGAGGAUCUUGCAUUAUCCUUUCACUGUUGUCAAAAUAGCAAGGUUUUUACUUACUGUGUUCUAAUUAGGUACUAAUAGCACUUGAGGGACUGAUGCACUUCGUUCACAUAACUAUAGCUAUUCUUGCUUUCAUCCCAAGGGCACUCCAUAAGACAACCACUGAUAUUGAUGUAAUCUCACAAGACCAUAGCCAGGUGAAAUGAAGGAGUGGAAAGAUCUAUCAAAACAAAUUUGGAAAGUAAAGCUGCUAAUUUCAAAUUUUAUGCUUGGUGACAAAUGAAAGUACUGAUGCUAUGGUUAUGGCUCAGUUUGCCUUGCCAUUUUUAUUAGAGACAUUGAUAAUGAAUAUAAUGUCACUGAAGACAUGGCUUCUUUGGUGCCAUUAAAAGACACAACUAAAUCUCUUGAUUUGUAUGAAGCAGUAAAAAUUACAUUAAAGUGAUUUUCUUUAACCUUUGUCAACAUAUCUGGUAUAGCUACUGAUGGUGCCCUGGUGAUAGCUGGUAAAAAAGAGGGACUUAUAACAUUAAUAGAAGACAAUGCAUGCACUGCCAGCAGCUCAUGUUUGAGGAAAUAGCAUUGCAUUGUACAUCAAGAAAAUUUAUGUGUGAAAACUUUAAAAAUGGAUAAUGUCAGGCAAAUCAUCACCAAAGCUGUGAAUUUCAUAAAGUCCAAGGCCUUAAAUCAUUGCCAGUUCCAGGAGUUCCUUAAAAGUAUGGAUGCUGAUAAUGGGGACAUCUUUUACAUAUCUAAAGGGAAGUGUCUGUGAUAGGGUAAAGUACUAAAAGCUUUUUAUGGUUUGCAAAAUGAAAUCAAGCCAUUUAUGGAAUCAAAAGGAAAAUUUGUGCCAGAACUUGAAGAUGAAAAAUGGCUCACAGAUUUAGCAUUUUUGGUGGAUUUGACCACUCAUUUAAAUGAGUUAAACAUGCACCUUCAAGGUGAAAAUCAACUUAUCUGUGCUGUGUUCCAUACCAUGACAUUCAAAAUGAAACUUACAUUGUGGCGUGCUGAAGUUAUGGCAAAUAACAUUGGCUAAACAUAGUCCUGUGAACAGUGAAAAAUAUGCAGCUGUGCUUUCCAUUUUGAUAAAGGAAUUUGAGAAUAGGUUUCAAGAUUGCUGAAAAAAUCAAUUUCUUGAUAUAUUUGCAACUCCAUUUUCAGUCAACAUAAAUACAUUACCUGCAAAUUUUCAAAUGGAACCAGAUGCACAACUCAACGAAAAAUGUAACUGUAUCUCUUUAUCGGACUUUUAUAAGCCUUCUCUUACCAAACAAAAACACCCCUCCCUUCACAAUCAGCCUUAUUCAUGUCAUUGCUUUUUGGCAGUACAUAAUGAACAACUGUUUUCAAGGACAAAGCACAGGAAGAGUAAAAUGUCAUCAGAAAUCUCUGAGGAGCUCCUGAGAAUUCACUAAGAACUGCAGGACUGCCACUGAACCACCAUGAUGUAUUUGUUUCACAAAAACAAGGUCAAAUAUCUGACUGGUUUUAUGGUUUUGCUACUCUUUUUUUUUUAAUGUUUUAAUAAAAUAUAUAUUUUAAAGGUUUU